GGGGGUGUGGCUCAGUGGUAGAGUGCUUGCCUAGUAUGUGUAAUGCACUGGGUUUGAUUCCCAGCACCACAU
rfam:Ictidomys tridecemlineatus contig037468, whole genome shotgun sequence.